AUUUGAAUAGUUUAUAAAAAACGUAAUAUUGAAGAUAUUAAAAUAACAAUAAGUUUUCAAAUA
rnacentral:tRNA from 1 species